rnacentral:rRNA from 1 species
CCGCGUGUGUGAAGAAGGCCUUUUGGUUGUAAAGCACUUUAAGCGAGGAGGAGGCUACCAGUAUUAAUACUACUGGGAUAGUGGACGUUACUCGCAGAAUAAGCACCGGCUAACUCUGUGCCAGCAGCCGCGGUAAUACAGAGGGUGCAAGCGUUAAUCGGAUUUACUGGGCGUAAAGCGUGCGUAGGUGGCCAAUUAAGUCAAAUGUGAAAUCCCCGAGCUUAACUAGGGAAUUGCAUUCGAUACUGGUUGGCUAGAGUAUGGGAGAGGAUGGUAGAAUUCCAGGUGUAGCGGUGAAAUGCGUAGAGAUCUGGAGGAAUACCGAUGGCGAAGGCAGCCAUCUGGCCUAAUACUGACACUGAGGUACGAAAGCAUGGGGAGCAAACAGGAUUAGAUACCCUGGUAGUCCAUGCCGUAAACGAUGUCUACUAGCCGUUGNGGCCUUUGAGGCUUUAGUGGCGCAGCUAACGCGAUAAGUAGA